rnacentral:rRNA from 1 species
UACAGAGGUGGCAAGCGUUGUUCGGAAUUACUGGGCGUAAAGGGCGCGUAGGCGGCCUACUAAGUCAGACGUGAAAUCCCCCGGCUUAACCUGGGAACUGCGUCUGAUACUGGAUGGCUUGAGUUUGGGAGAGGGAUGCGGAAUUCCAGGUGUAGCGGUGAAAUGCGUAGAUAUCAGGAGGAACACCGGUGGCGAAGGCGGGUCUCUGGGCCGAUACUGACGCUGAGGAGCGAAAGCGUGGGGAGCGAACAGG